UUUUUGGGGGUCAUAACAUACACAAUCGAAGUCUAAUACUGCAUUAGAUUGUGUGCCAAAAUUGCCAAAGUCUAGUCCAGUUAAAUAGAAACGAAGAGAUUUUGGAUGUUAUUUCAGUGAUAGAAAAGAAGAAAUCAGAAUCCAUGGAACCUAAAAUAGAAAUGUCAGUUGUUUUCCAACAAUCUAAAACGCAUCGUUUUUCGUUUGUCAGGUGUUGUGUGUCGCAGACGGACUAAAGUUGGUUGGUUUAAAUGUAAGAAAGCAUUCUUAAGGGUUAUAAUAUGGAAAUGGCGGAAGUUGAGGGGCUCUUUCAACAAAUUCGCUAAAAAGUUUGGCUUCUAUAAAUCCGAGCGGGAAAGAUUUGUUUCAUAAAAAAACUCAUUUCCAAAUAUCAAAAUCCAAAGAUGAUUUUUGGGUUUGUGUUCAAGAGACAAGAGAAGAGUGCUCCAACAAGGCCGAAUUCAGUGGGUUUCACGUUGGUGAAGAAGAACUUGCGUUUCAAAGCAACAACAAGAACAACGAAACAAUCAUCAUCAACAAAGGAGAUUUGCAUUGGAGCAGCCAUUGUUGUCGCUGUGAUCUUUUUUCGUCGAUUUCUGCAUAGCGAUUGAGAUCGGUGGAGCUGAUCUCUUAACUUAAAUCUUUCGUUUCUCUUCUUCUUCUUUCUUGUCAACUCGUUCGCUCUCUUCUUGAGAUUCUUGCUCCAUCUUCUUAAAACCCAAAAUCUCUCAAAUCUCUGUAAUCCGAUCGACCUAUCAAUUCUUGCGUGUUUACAAAACCCUAAGUCAUGGAUGAAUUGCGAGUAUUCAAAUGGGUUACUUGAAAUCUCUUGUUAACGAAGAGAUUUCAAGGUAUAUCUAAAGAACGAACGAGAUCAAAUCCAGAUACCAUACUUGGACGAAAGUGCUUCUUUUGUCUCUGCAUCACAUAAGGAACGAGAGCUUGAAGCAGUUGCAUUGGUUCAUUCUGACAAGACAAAUCUCACUUCACUUAACGUUCCACCCAUGGGUCUGUUUUAUCUUACUCAUUGUUUUCCUGAAGUGUUUCCCCAGCCACCACCGUACAUGGUUCCAAUACCAAGAGAAUAUCUUGGAGGAAACAUGGACUCUGCAGAUGGUGGUAAUAUGGGAUUACCUGUGUGGAACCUGAAAUCCAAGAAAGAAGAGGACAUUAGUCUCGUGAAGCCACUACAAGCAGCAUUCUCUCAAUGUGUUUCACCAACUCUUAGUGUGUGUUAAGGCUUCCUCUGUUUCUUUCUAUUUCACUUUCCUUCUGUACAUGAAAAAACAAACCGACAAGACAACAAUUUCCAAAAGGGUUUCCUUAUUGAUUGUCUUAGCCGUCUAUGAUAUAGACUAACUACUAGUUGAGCUCAA